UACGUAGGUGACAAGCGUUGUCCGGAUUUACUGGGCGUAAAGAGCGCGCAGGCGGUCGUUCAAGUCGAGUGUGAAAGCCCCCCGGCUCAACUGGGGAGGGUCACUCGAUACUGAUCGACUCGAAGGCAGGAGAGGGUAGUGGAAUUCCCCGGUGUAGUGGUGAAAUGCGUAGAUAUCGGGAGGAACACCAGUGGCGAAGGGCGACUACCUGGCCUGUUCUUGACGCUGAGGCGCGAAAGCUAGGGGAGCAAACGGGG
rnacentral:rRNA from 1 species